GCGGGCGUAGCUCAGGGGUAGAGCACAACCUUGCCAAGGUUGGGGGCGGGCGUUCGAAGCGCCUCGCCCGCUCCA
rnacentral:tRNA from 1 species